GAUCAACGCUGGCGGCGUGCCUAACACAUGCAAGUCGCACGUCCUGUCCUCUUUCGGGAGGGCAGGGAGUGGCGGACGGGUGAGUAACACGUGGGUACCUACCCUUAAGUGAGGAAUACCGGCGAGAAAUCGCCGACAAAACCGCAUACGCUCCGUGAGGAGCAAAGCCCGCAAGGGCGCUUGAGGAUGGGCCUGCGGCCGAUUAGCUAGUUGGUGAGGUAAUGGCUCACCAAGGCGACGAUCGGUAGCUGGUCUGAGAGGACGAGCAGCCACACUG
rnacentral:rRNA from 1 species